ensembl:misc_RNA 7SK 7SK RNA
GGAUGUGAGGGCUAUCUGGCUGGGACAUCUAUCACCCCACUGAUUGCCGGGUUGAUAUGAUUAAUCUGGCUGGCUAGGAGGGUGUCCCCUUCCUCCCUCACUGCUCCAUGUGUGUCCCUCCUGAAGCUGCAUGCUCGGUCAAAGAGGAUGACCUUCCCUAAUAGAGAAACGUUCUUUGGUCAAGGGUAUACAAGUAGCUGCGCUUCCCUGCUAGAACCUCCAAACAAGCUCUCAAGGUCCAAAACAGACACUAUAGGCAGUUUACAAAACAAACAUUCAACACCAAAAUGCUAAACAUAAAACAACCGAGAUUGAGGUGGGAUAGAAAUUUU